GUAGGUGGCAAGCGUUGUCCGGAUUUACUGGGCGUAAAGGAUGCGUAGGCGGAUUUUUAAGUGAGAUGUGAAAUGCCCGGGCUUAACUUGGGUGCUGCAUUUCAAACUGGGAAUCUAGAGUGCGGGAGAGGAGAAUGGAAUUCCUAGUGUAGCGGUGAAAUGCGUAGAGAUUAGGAAGAACACCAGUGGCGAAGGCGAUUCUCUGGACCGUAACUGACGCUGAGGCAUGAAAGCGUGGGUAGCAAACAGGAUUAGAUACCCUGGUAGUCCACGCCGUAAACGAUGAGUACUAGGUGUAGGAGGUAUCGACUCCCUUCUGUGCCGCAGUUAACACAAUAAGUACUCCGCCUGGAAGUACGAUCGCAAGAUUA
rnacentral:rRNA from 1 species